rnacentral:lncRNA from 1 species
UUAACUAUUUUCUUACCUUAUUUCUGCUUGAUUUUCGCACUAUAAAUGCACGAAUCAUUCACAAACCAACGGGACAAUCUUUUUAAACUCACAUUUAUACAUACUAGUCUCUUCUCUUCUUGUCUGCACUAUGGCCUGCUUACAAGACCUACUGCUUUUCUCUUUUUUGUUUCUUCAAAACUGAUAUGUCCUUAUUCAAUUUUUAAGCGUCACAACGAUGUGUUUUUUUACUGCUUU